rnacentral:rRNA from 1 species
GUCCUACGGGGCGCAGCAGUGGGGAAUAUUGCGCAAUGGGCGAAAGCCUGACCGAGCAACGCCGCGUGAGUGAAGAAGGUUUUCGGAUCGUAAAACUCUGUUGGUAGAGAAGAACGUUGGUGAGAGUGGAAAGCUCAUCAAGUGACGGUAACUACCCAGAAGGGGACGGCUAACUACGUGCCAGCAGCCGCGGUAAUACGUAGGUCCCGAGCGUUGGCCGGAUUUAUUGGGCGUAAAGCGAGCGCAGGUGGUUUAUUAAGUCUGGUGUAAAAGGCAGUGGCUCAACCAUUGUAUGCAUUGGAAAC